rnacentral:rRNA from 1 species
CCUACGGGUGGCAGCAGUGAGGAAUAUUGGUCAAUGGACGAGAGUCUGAACCAGCCAAGUAGCGUGAAGGAUGACUGCCCUAUGGGUUGUAAACUUCUUUUAUAAAGGAAUAAAACGAGGCACGUGUGCCUGUUUGCAUUUACUUUAUGAAUAAGGAUCGGCUAACUCCGUGCCAGCAGCCGCGGUAAUACGGAGGAUCCGAGCGUUAUCCGGAUUUAUUGGGUUUAAAGGGAGCGUAGAUGGGUUGUUAAGUCAGUUGUGAAAGUUUGCGGCUCAACCGUGACAUUGCAAUUGAUACUGGCAGUCUUUAGUUCAGUUGAGGUAGGCGGAAUGCGUGGUGUAGCGGUGAAAUGCUUAGAGAUCACGAAGAACCCCGAUUGCGAAGGCAGCUUACUAAACUGUGACUGACAUUGAUGCUCGAAAGUGUGGGUAUCAAACAGGAUUAGAUACCCGGGUAGUC